GUGCUGCUUCAGCAGCACAUAUACUAAAAUUGGAACUAUAAGCAGAAGAUUAGCAUGGCCCCUGAGCAAGGAUGACGUGCAAAUUCGUGAAGCGUUCCACAUUUAA
ensembl:snRNA U6 U6 spliceosomal RNA